GAUAUAAAAAAUGUCAGCAUGAUUAGAUAUAACUAGAGGUGAGUGAGACACCGGUUUAUUUUGUAUUUGGGGAGGACUUGCACUUUAAAUGUCUCCAGCAGUAGAGAUGGAGCGCAGCUUACUGAAACAUCAUCGUGCUGUUGGCUGCACCAGCACAACAACAUUCAGUCACACCC